UACGUAGGGGGCUAGCGUUGUUCGGAAUUACUGGGCGUAAAGGGCGCGUAGGCGGCUCGGCACGUCCGUUGUGAAAUCGCCCGGCUCAACUGGGCGGGGUCGGCGGAUACGGCCGAGCUGGAGCAAGCUAGGGGGUAAUGGAAUUCCCGGUGUAGUGGUGGAAUGCGUAGAUAUCGGGAGGAACACCAGUGGCGAAGGCGGUUACCUGGAGCUUUGCUGACGCUGAUGCGCGAAAGCGUGGGGAGCGAUCCGG
rnacentral:rRNA from 1 species